CAGAACUUAAAGGAAGUUGACGGGGCCCGCACAAGCGGUGGAGUAUGUGGUUUAAUUCGAUGCAACGCGAAGAACCUUACCUGGUCUUGACAUCCCGGAGACCCUUAGGAAACUAGGGGUGCUUCCAUCUGGAAGAAUCUGGAGACAGGUGCUGCAUGGCUGUCGUCAGCUCGUGUCGUGAGAUGUUGGGUUAAGUCCCGCAACGAGCGCAACCCUUGCCUUUAGUUGCCAGCAGUUCGGCUGGGCACUCUAAAGGGACUGCCGGUGUUAAACCGGAGGAAGGUGGGGAUGACGUCAAGUCCUCAUGGCCUUUAUGACCAGGGCUACACACGUACUACAAUGGCCGAUACAAAGGGCAGCGACACUGCGAGGUGAAGCCAAUCCCGUAAAAUCGGUCUCAGUCCGGAUUGGAGUCUGCAACUCGACUCCAUGAAGUUGGAAUCGCUAGUAAUCGUGGAUCAGCAUGCCACGGUGAAUAUGUUCCCGGGCCUU
rnacentral:rRNA from 1 species